rnacentral:rRNA from 1 species
CCCAGGGAAACUUGGAUUAAUGCCCCAUGGUACCGUUAUAUCGCAUGAUAUUACGGUUAAAGAUUUAUCGGACAGGGAUGGCCAUGCGUACCAUUAGUUAGUUGGUGGGGUAACGGCUCACCAAGGCAGCGAUGGUUAGGGGCCCUGAGAGGGGGAUCCCCCACACUGGUACUGAGACACGGACCAGACUCCUACGGGAGGCAGCAGUGAGGAAUAUUGGUCAAUGGAGGCAACUCUGAACCAGCCAUGCCGCGUGCAGGAAGAAUGCCCUAUGGGUUGUAAACUGCUUUUAUUUAGGAAGAAUCCCCAGUACGUGUACUGGGUUGACGGUACUAAACGAAUAAGGACCGGCUAACUCCGUGCCAGCAGCCGCGGUAAUACGGAGGGUCCAAGCGUUAUCCGGAAUCAUUGGGUUUAAAGGGUCCGCAGGCGGACUAGUAAGUCAGUGGUGAAAUCUCUCAGCUCAACUGGGAAACUGCCAUUGAUACUGUUAGUCUUGAAUUCGGUCGAAGUGGGCGGAAUGUGUCAUGUAGCGGUGAAAUGCAUAGAUAUGACACAGAACACCGAUAGCGAAGGCAGCUCACUAGGCCUGAAUUGACGCUCAGGGACGAAAGCGUGGGGAGCGAACAGGAUUAGAUACCCUGGUAGUCCACGCCGUAAACGAUGAUUACUCGAUAUCUGCGAUAUACUGUAGGUGUCUAAGCGAAAGUGAUAAGUAAUCCACCUGGGGAGUACGAUCGCAAGGUUGAAACUCAAAGGAAUUGACGGGGGCCCGCACAAGCGGUGGAGCAUGUGGUUUAAUUCGAUGAUACGCGAGGAACCUUACCAGGGCUUAAAUGCAGGCUGCAUGGGGUAGAGAUACCCCUUUCUUCGGACCGCCUGCAAGGUGCUGCAUGGUUGUCGUCAGCUCGUGCCGUGAGGUGUCAGGUUAAGUCCUAUAACGAGCGCAACCCCUACCGUUAGUUGCCAGCAUGUCAAGAUGGGGACUCUAACGGGACUGCCGGUGCAAACCGUGAGGAAGGUGGGGACGACGUCAAAUCAUCACGGCCCUUACGUCCUGGGCUACACACGUGCUACAAUGGCCGGUACAGAGGGAAGCCACCCCGCAAGGGGGCGCGGAUCUACAAAACCGGUCACAGUUCGGAUCGGGGUCUGCAACUCGACCCCGUGAAGCUGGAAUCGCUAGUAAUCGGAUAUCAGCCAUGAUCCGGUGAAUACGUUCCCGGGCCUUG